GGGGUGGCCGGCCAUCACUUGGCCCAAGGCCACCCACUUAAUGAAUAUUUUCCAUGUGCAAAAAAAAGAAUAUAAGUAGUCAUCAUCUCUUAGAAUGUUCAAGAAACAAAACAAAACAAGAAAAUGAAAGAAAGAGUAAGAGGGGGGUUCGGCCCCCUUCAAGACAAAAGAAAAAUUUUCCAAGUCCAUGGAUUUUGAUCAAAAAAUCAUACUUUUCUAGCAAUAUUGCUAAUUAAAGGAUGCUCUUCAACAUGGUAUAAUUUUUAAGGCAAGAAAGUGCUUGUGUUGGCAAGUGGAAGUUUGAAGAAAAAGAUUUUCGACGAAACGGGAAGUGAGCUUGCAUAGGCCUAAAAAGCUCAAAAGGUACAGAAGAUAAAUUUGCUGACCACUUGCCUAGGACAUCCAUUCUGCUAUGUUUGGAGCGCUCUUUUGUCCAGAGCCUAUAUGUUGGUAUAGUCCGUCGCUAUUAUAUAUAUGUAUGCUAUUCAGGGGUAUGACGGGGCCCUGUCCCGUCUUAUGAUUCUGUUAUGAUUUGUAGAGGUCUGUAGACAUACUUGUGUGGGUUCUGCAUAUGUUUGGUUAUGAUACGAUCUGUGAGAGCCUCAUUGGCUUCCAUGUACUGUGUCGGUUCCUUUAUGCUAAUUACUAACG